rnacentral:sRNA from 1 species
GCAUGCGCGUGGCGGGCGGGCGGCCGGAGGCGGGUGGGUCAAGGUAGCUCUGGGCUACAGGAUCCUUGCUGGGGGUUCGGGGAGCGCUUGGACCCCGGCUUCUGAGACGCGUCAGGAGAAGGGAGCACUGGCUUUGCUUUCAUCAGGCCAAAGAUGCCUUUCUUUGGGAAUACGUUCAGUCCGAAGAAGACACCUCCUCGGAAGUCGGCCUCUCUCUCCAACCUGCAUUCUGUGAGUGUCAGUACUGGGGUCGGCCGGGUGUGCAGCAUGAGUUGAGUGCUGAGCGUGUCUCUGAAUGGAAAGUGUGGUCCUCCAGAGGCAUCGGUGCAGGAGGGCAUCCUUUCCGUCCAUAUCAUUGCUAUUGCGGAAAACAUUUUUGAACUCUUGUUUGGGAAUGAUCGUCAGAGCUUGUUUAUCCAAGAACCUAAGAAGACGAUCUCAUUAUGAUAUUUGACCCCAAAUAUCCAAAUUUUUUUUUUCUUUUUUGAGAUGGAGUCUCGCUCCCGUCCCACAGGCUAGGGUGCAGUGGCGCGAUCUCGACUCACUGCAACCUCCACCUCCCGGGU